AAAGAAUGCAGCUCGUGAAUGAGGACUGCAAAUAGCCAUGUCCCCUUCCUGGACCUUCAGGAGCACCAAACUCUCAGCGCUGCCUGGGAAAUUUAAUUUCUGCAGGCAGUUUUGUGUAAGUGAUGCCCCAGAUACUACUGCUAACUCUGUCCAAAAAGGCAG
rnacentral:lncRNA from 12 species